GUCCCUUUGGGGACAUCUGAUAAAAUUGGAACGAUACAGAGAAGAUUAGCAUGGCCAAAAAAAAAAAAGAUGCUUAUCAUAGAAAUUUACUUGUGAUUA
rnacentral:snRNA from 2 species